GAUGAACGCUGGCGGCGUGCCUAAUACAUGCAAGUCGAGCGAACAGACGAGGAGCUUGCUCCUCUGACGUUAGCGGCGGACGGGUGAGUAACACGUGGAUAACCUACCUAUAAUACUUGGAUAACUUCGGGAAACCGGAGCUAAUACCGGAUAAUAUAUUGAACCGCAUGGUUCAAUAGUGAAAGACGGUUUUGCUGUCACUUAUAGAUUGAUCCGCGCCGCAUUAGCUAGUUGGUAAGGUAACGGCUUACCAAGGCAACGAUGCGUAGCCGACCUGAGAGGGUGAUCGGCCACACUGGAACUGAGACACGGUCCAGACUACUACGGGAGGCAGCAGUAGGGAAUAUUCCGCAAUGGGCGAAAGCCUGACGGAGCAACGCCGCGUGAGUGAUGAAGGUCUUCGGAUCGUAAAACUCUGUUAUUAGGGAAGAACAAAUGUGUAAGUAACUAUGCACGUCUUGACGGUACCUAAUCAGAAAGCCACGGCUAACUACGUG
rnacentral:rRNA from 1 species